rfam:Microbacterium sp. Root180 contig_2, whole genome shotgun sequence.
UCUGAGCCCUCGGCCCCGACUCCCAGCCGCCCUCCCUGACGCACUUCCCCGGUGUCAGGUCGGAGCGGAUGGGGAUCAGGACCGAGGGACAGGGUCCA